UUUAAAGAGAUAAGAAAACCUGCUAAUGUCUUGUAAUGAUUUCUUCAUCAUAAAAAGAGUGUGACAAUUUACUGUUCACUAGGAGUCAUCCUAUUAGGUAAGAUAUUAUUAUUUAAUCUUAGCAGGCUGUGUUUUAAUCAGCCAGAGUACUCAGUAAAUAACUUUCAGCAUGACAAGAGGGCAGAUGACAAAGCAAGGAUCUUGAGCUUAAGCUGUCUUUUACCUAGAUCUAGUCUCAGCGUUCUUAAUGACUGCACAGAGUACAUCCUGCUUAUGUAAAGAGAUUUUUUGGGGGGAAGGGGGGCACUACAGUGUAUGUGCAUAGACAAAAACAAAUGGGAAUUUGGGUGGAGUCCGAUAAGGUUGUAAGAUUUUCUUUCAGAUUAACUAAUUGAAGUCCAGAAACUCCAUGGAAACCUAGUGUUGUUUAUGCUUCUCUCAUCCUGUCUCCAAAUAUGAGAUAACACAGCAUCCAUUAUCCAUUAUAGUGUAACACUUGACUCUGAACUUGGCUCUCACAGUAGUGGUCUCAGUCUUUUGGCCACACUCUGCUGACCAAACCCUGUUGUUGCAGUUUCAUUCUAGGAAAACACGCCCUUUCAGCCACUGACACACUAUGUUGUUGUGGGCUCUGAUUUACAGCCACAUGGUUUUAACUGUUUUGAUCUGCACUGUCUACACAAAUAUUUAACACUGUAGAAGGAGAUGGUACUUUCCACUGUUUAUGGUUCAUAUGUUGUUCUGUCUGUCUUAGGCUACUAUAAUUAUAAUGAAGCUUACUAAAUCUGUGGCUUAAGACAGAAUUUACAUAAUCCCUGAUCUAACAACUAGGUUUGUCCUUUGGUAAACCAUCUGCAUGCACUCAUGUUUUGUUUAUGUCUGGGUUCUUUUCUGAGUCACUCAUCAAGUUGUAGAAAUGUGUCAAGUGGUGUUAUAGAGGACUUACAGCUAAGCAUCACUGAUAGGCUUUACUUUAGGACUAUGUUAAGAAACACUUACGGUAUCACAGGACUAAGCUGGUGCUGCAUUGGUGUCUGAGGUCACAGAUAUGGUGACUAACAAACAUGUUUUUGGUUUCUGUUCUGUUCUGAUAAGAGUAAAUCUUCAUUCAGGACCUCGACUCCCAAGUUUUCCUGUCCUUCUUCUCACAGGAAGACUUCAGGAAGGAAAUUAUUGGAAAACAAACACAAAUUCCGAUUAAGGAAAUUCUUAGAACUGAAAGCAAAUGUCAUAAAUGUAGCUUUUCACAUGUGCGUCAUGUUGUUUAAAGUUUCUAAGCACGCACGAUACUUUGCCUGACAUGAAUUUACAAUGCCUGUCUGUAACUGCAAUCCGUUGCCAGCAGAGGUCGCUGUUAUCCAACAGACCCGACAUCGGUUCACGCUUCAACGCCUACCCUGAACUGAACACAAAUCCAUGGCUAACCUGACCCUACAAGCCAAGGCUUAGAAUAAUACUCGCAUGCCCAUUUCACCCUGAAAAUGAUUAUCUCAGAGUGUAGUGUAUGGCAAUUCCAAGGUCCCCGGGGAGUCGACAUUACUCAGAAUAGCGUGAAUUCCUUGGGUAACAAAUGAAAUGCGACAUGCAUGGUAUGCAUGUGCACUAUGGUAUGGUUUGUGAUUUUGUCACUUCUGAGUUGUUUGCACUUGCUGUAGUAGGUGCUGGUGUGUUACAUGAAAAUUAAAACGUUCUCUUUUGGUCUGAGAGUCACGACAGAUGAUUCCGUGAUAACUUGGGUGUGGCGGUUUCCCUUUGAAGUAGAAGACAAAACAACCUAAAAAAAAAGAGCAGGAAAAAAUAAACAACAAAGUACCAGAUGAGCCAUUGCUUGAUUUUAUUUGUACAGUACUUCCUCAUAAAUCCUAAACCUGUAGCUGCUUGAGCUUUGGGGUACUUGAAUGUUUUGGUAAUUAGCCUACUCGACAUGUGUGUUUAUGUAUAAGAGAAGGCAUAUUCAUGCUGUGAGUGAUUCGAAUUGCUCUCUGUUUUCCUUUUGAAAUUCCAGUCGAGUGCAGAUUAUUAUCCAUUUAUGUUUUAAGUGUUUGUACUUUUCUUGAAUUUAAUUUAAAAUAAAUUACCAUUCAAUUUAUUAUUUUUUUUAUUUUUUGUUCUCCAGGGUUUGUUUGUAUUUUUGUUUUGUUUUUUAAAUAUAUUGUCCUAGUGAUUUUAAACCCUAGUCCUUCUGUCAUCUUCAUGGGAUUGGUGGUAGCCAGUAUGCUCACUGGGGGUAGUAGUGACACCUGGGAACAUCUGUGUGUCCUCUUGUUUCCUAACUUAAUCCCUAGUAGGACAAGUAGAUGGGUUUAUUUAUUUAUUUAUUUAUUUACAUAUUCUGUAUAAUUUAAAAAGUUGUUUGUAGCUGUGCUUGUACUGGACAUUUUCCACUGCUGUGUUUAAUUAAAUCUUAAAAUAAAUCACUUAAAAUGAUCACUCCUCUCCAGGGCCACAUUAGGAUUUGUGACACUGAGUUAAAUCACAUUGUUUCCAAAAGCCUUUUGUUUGAGAAGUCUCAACACAGCGUUGUGAAGUUUCUAAAUAAACAUACUCUGGACGACGUUUG
ensembl:lncRNA